rnacentral:lncRNA from 10 species
AGUUCUGAAGAUUGCUGCAGUCUGGAGUCUAGUAUUUGCGAACCCAAGAGAGCCAAGAAAGGGUCCUUUACUCAAAGCUGCAAGAAGAAGGAAAAUAAAAACCCCAAAGUUAAGUAUCACCAUCCAGCUGGCACAUGUGCUUAGGCCACAACUGGCUUUGGCAAGUCCUCAUCCUCGAGGCCUCCAGUGGCUCUGAAAUUCUCACCACAAGAAAAUCAUGGGUUUUAAGACACAAGAAUUAAAGAACACAUUAAUGUAAUUUUGGUGCAGGAGCAUUUAGAGAAAUGUGUGUUUGUCUUUGAAGGUUGGCUAACUUUGGAAAUUCUUCAGACCUGUAAUGGGGCUAUUUGCCUGGGAGUUGGUUCUACUGUUCCUGAAGAGACGGCAAUAUUAACCAUCCCCAAAGUGCAGCAUUGAGCCUUUCCCCUUCCCACUACCCCAUACUCAGAAGGAGCAAUCUAUGCCCAAAUUUCUUUUUAAAAUUAGAAGUAUCUCUCUGUAUAUAAACUGAUCACCUAGAGUCUUAAUCAGAAAAUAAAACUAGUUCUUAAAUUUUCUUGGAGGAAUUUUGCUCAAGUGAUUGUAUUAUUUCUGCUUGAAUAACUCCUUACAAAGGAAAUUCUUAAGCUAUUUUUCCAGAUAAUAGAGUCAAAAUUAGUUUCUUUCUAAUUCUACACAUUCAUUCUUGUUCUUUCUCUGAGGGGCACAAAUAAUAAUCCAUCCUCUUGGUCAUAGCCACCCUCAUAUUCCAUCUUUUU